AGCACUGGACUGCUCUCCACCCAAAGACUAGCUGGGAGGAAGGAGGUCAGUGCUAAAGCCAUAACUGAGGAGUCUAUUCCCCAUUUCAGAAGGUGCAUGGCUAUAUUGUUGACCAUGAGUCUGUAGACAUGGAUCUGUCCCCUAGAGAUAACUGGAGCAUCAAGAACUGCAGUACUGUAUGGAGUUUUCUACAGAUCUGUGCAAUGCCUUUUUAUUUGUGGAAAAGGAAGCCGUGGUUCUCAAACUUCCUGCAGCCCCCAUUGGCCUGGAGUGGCGAACCGGGGCCAGUGGGAGCCACGAUUGGCAGAACCUGCGGACACGGCAGGUAAACAAACCAGCCCGGCCCGCCAGGAGCUUUCCCUGAACAAGUGGUGGCCCAGGUUUGAGAAUCACUGUUCUACAGGAAUGGCUGAGGUUAGCCUA